GACGAACGCUGGCGGCGUGCCUAAUACAUGCAGGUAGAACGCUGAAGGAGGAGCUUGCUUCUCUGGAUGAGUUGCGAACGGGUGAGUAACGCGUAGGUAACCUGCCUGGUAGCGGGGGAUAACUAUUGGAAACGAUAGCUAAUACCGCAUAAUAGUAGAUGUCGCAUGACAUUUGCUUAAAAGGUGCAAUUGCAUCACUACCAGAUGGACCUGCGUUGUAUUAGCUAGUUGGUGAGGUAACGGCUCACCAAGGCAACGAUACAUAGCCGACCUGAGAGGGUGAUCGGCCACACUGGGACUGAGACACGGCCCAGACUCCUACGGGAGGCAGCAGUAGGGAAUCUUCGGCAAUGGACGGAAGUCUGACCGAGCAACGCCGCGUGAGUGAAGAAGGUUUUCGGAUCGUAAAGCUCUGUUGUAAGAGAAGAACGAGUGUGAGAGUGGAAAGUUCACACUGUGACGGUAGCUUACCAGAAAGGGACGGCUAACUACGUG
rnacentral:rRNA from 1 species